UACGUAGGGUGCAAGCGUUGUCCGGAAUUAUUGGGCGUAAAGAGCUCGUAGGUGGUUUGUUGCGUCGGCUGUGAAAUCCCGAGGCUCAACCUCGGGUCUGCAGUCGAUACGAGCAAACUAGAGUGUUGCAGGGGAGACUGGAAUUCCUGGUGUAGCGGUGAAAUGCGCAGAUAUCAGGAGGAACACCGGUGGCGAAGGCGGGUCUCUGGGCUGACACUGACGCUGAAGCGCGAAAGCUAGGGGAGCGAACGGG
rnacentral:rRNA from 1 species